rnacentral:lncRNA from 1 species
CUGAUCUGCAGAUAUUUGAGGUACCAUGGCUGAGAUGGAUCUUCUUACGCUAAUCAAAAGCGUACCAUCCCUGAUUGAACAAUUGGGGAAGGCAUUAAAUGAUCUUGAAUCUCACGAAAAUGCCUCCAUGGAUAAGGGUUUACUCAAGGAUAUUGAAAGACACUUCCGGGAUCUGGAGGCCUCAGCAGUGAACAAGUCUUUGUUCACGAAGAUGCCUCCAUGGAUAAGGGUUUACUCAAGGAUAUUGAAAGACACUUCCGGGAUCUGGAGGCCUCAGCAGUGAACAAGGCUUUGGAACUAGAAAGUAAAGAGAAAGCCUUUAAGGAACAAGAAUCUGAUGCACAUCUG